GCCGAAAUAGCUCAGGUGGGAGAGCGUCAGACUGAAGAUCUGAAGCUAAGGUCCCUGGUUCAAUCCCGGGUUCCGGCA